GACGAACGCUGGCGGCGUGCCUAAUACAUGCAAGUCGAACGCAGUGGGGACGGGUGAGUAACACGUGGGUAACCUCCCAUCAGAGGGGAUAACACUUGGAAACAGGUGCUAAACCGAUACUGAUGGAUGGACCCGAGGUGCAUUAGCUAGUUGGUGAGGUAACGGCUCACCAAGGCCACGAUGCAUAGCCUGCCGUAGAGGGGAAUCGGCGACACGGGGACGGAGACACGUCCCAGAUUCCUACGGUGGGCAGCAGUAGGGAAUCUUCGGCAAUGGACGAAAGUCUGACCGAGCAACACGGGGUGAGUGAAGAAGGUUUUCGGAUCGGAAAACUGUGUUGUUAGAGAAGCGUUAUCUAACCAGAAGGCCAAGGCUAACUAGGAGCCAGCAGCCGCGGUAAUC
rnacentral:rRNA from 1 species